AGACCCGAAACCCGGUGAUCUAGCCAUGGGCAGGUUGAAGGUUGGGUAACACUAACUGGAGGACCGAACCGACUAAUGUUGAAAAAUUAGCGGAUGACUUGUGGCUGGGGGUGAAAGGCCAAUCAAACCGGGAGAUAGCUGGUUCUCCCCGAAAGCUAUUUAGGUAGCGCCUCGUGAAUUCAUCUCCGGGGGUAGAGCACUGUUUCGGCAAGGGGGUCAUCCCGACUUACCAACCCGAUGCAAACUGCGAAUACCGGAGAAUGUUAUCACGGGAGACACACGGCGGGUGCUAACGUCCGUCGUGAAGAGGGAAACAACCCAGACCGCCAGCUAAGGUCCCAAAGUCAUGGUUAAGUGGGAAACGAUGUGGGAAGGCCCAGACAGCCAGGAUGUUGGCUUAGAAGCAGCCAUCAUUUAAAGAAAGCGUAAUAGCUCACUGGUCGAGUCGGCCUGCGCGGAAGAUGUAACGGGGCUAA
rnacentral:rRNA from 2 species